AAAGAAUCCAAACAUGGAGAACAUAGCCAAUCUCCCGUUCUUGAUCUCCUUCACUUUGAGCUCCGCAAAAGUGACGGGGUCAUCAGCCAAACCGAGGGGGUCAAAAUACUGACCCCCUGGGUAGAGGUCAUUGCCAUCUCCGACUCCAUCUAGACCGUUGAUUCUGAACCCUUCAACGGCUCCCAUUAGCAAGACUUGGAAUCCAAGAACGGCUAGGAUGCUCUGCGCGUGGACGAGGUUGGGGUUUCCUA
rnacentral:lncRNA from 1 species